rnacentral:rRNA from 1 species
UACUCCCGCCGGCGACCGGCGCACGGGUGAGUAACACGUAUGAAACCUGCCCGUAGCAGGGGGAUAAGCGGAAGAAAUUCCGUCUAAUACCGCGUAACAACCCGAGGAGGCAUCUCCUCGGGUUUUAAAGGAAGCGAUUCCGGCUACGGAUGGUCAUGCGUCGCAUUAGCUAGUUGGCGGGGUAACGGCCCACCAAGGCGACGAUGCGUAGGGGUUCUGAGAGGAAGGUCCCCCACACUGGUACUGAGACACGGACCAGACUCCUACGGGAGGCAGCAG